UACUAAUCGUUAACCAAAUUAACGUUGUGACAACGGACGUUCUUUGGAAAUUCCUUUUUCGCACGAUUUUGUUUGCGCAUUUUAAUCUUCCGCGUACAUUUAGUUUGCGAAUGUUCUCCAACCUACUAGCCGUGAUAAGCCGAUAACGCUGCAUUAACCUGGGUAAAUAUGCGUUAAUCUAGGUAAUCGCGCAACCAGCAGCAUAACCAAAAAUAGGCCCUUCGUUUGUCAAUAUAUUGACAUUCUUUCGGGAAAAGUACGGUUUUAGAACGUGAGUGAUCCGGCCGCUAAUACAGAAUUUCCAGGUUUUUGCCGUAAUAAUAGUGGAGCGCGACAGACGGCACCGACACAACUUGGAAUCCGAGUCAAGGAUUUAAACCGCAACAAAACGUAUGCACGCGCGCUUUGAAUCCGUAUUGUUUUAUACGAGGAAAAGCAAACAAGCCGCGGCGAUUAAGCGUUAAAAGGAAACUCACGGUUGAUUUAUUUUCGUGCGGAAAGUCUCACUUUCGGCAGUUACCUUCGAUUGUCGCGGCGUUAAGAUGUGCGAGAGUAACGGUGCCGAAAAGGGGUUCGAGGAGCUGAAACAGGCGGUGCACAGUCAACACGCCAGAAUUUUGAAAGAGGACGACGAAAUCUGGAUCUCCAGCGAAGAUUUAAACACAGAAAACAGUAGCGACGAGGACAGGUCCAAGGUGAAGUUGGCUUUUCGUAAAAAAUUAAAACCGAAGAACCGGAAGCGGUCUUCGCCCAAUAUCCGGUUGCAGAGGCCGUCGAUUCCGUCGGUCACCAGUACGUCACAACAAUUAGAUAACCGACUACUGAUGCCACAAACCAGUGAAGACCCACACUCGCGAUCCACAGAUGAAUCCAGAACUUCCGACGAGGAAUACAACGUCCCAUCGAUGAUAUCAUCGGAAUGUUUAUCGAAGAGGUUGAGUUUGGAGGACUGGAGGCCCACGAGAGGCUCCUUGACCGUUUCCUCUUUGGAGGAGACAGCUUCCGCGGCCGGUGAUCCAAGGAAACUAGUAAAUGAAACUGGAAACUUCUUAGAAGCAAUGAUGAACAAACUGAAGACUCUUAAGUCCUGCUCGGCGUUAUCCCCCUAUAAAGAACCAGAGGAUUUAGUUAUGCCAUCUUAUAAAAAAACUUUCAAAUAUCUUAAAAAUACCCCGGAAGUUAAGAGGUCUUUAGAAGCUAUUCGUGCCAUGGACGAAGAGAUUUUUCAAACAAUUAACCAGUAUAAGGAAGAGAGGCAAGAAAGACUUUCCACAGAAUUUGAUGUUUGUAAAGACAUAGUUGAGCAUAAAGUGGCCGAGGAACAUGGCACCGAGGCAUUUCUUCAAAUGAGUGGGUUUGAUAAAAAACUGAAGAAGCUUGUGCAAAUUAACGAGAAAAAUCGUGGGAAUAAUGAGAAAAUUAUGAAGAAAAUCAAAGGAGAUGGUAGUAGCAAGGCAGGAGUCUCAACUAGUUCUGGGCAUAUGCCAAACUUUAUCGAACGAAAUCGACAAGGUGCCAAAGCUGGAACGAUGGCAUAUUUCGCCUUAACCGACGAGGAAAAAGCGAGAAUCGAGAAGUUGAUGGAAGAUUUUGAAAAAGAUAUCGACAAUUACAACUUAAACGAUGCAGAAUUGAGGCUGUCGUCGAUGGACUUUACCGAAGAAAUUAACGAAAACGCACCGAUACAAAAAAGUAAUUUCAUUGAAGAGAAAAAUGGUUUUUUGCUAGAUGAUGACGAUAAAAACCGCCUGGAAAGCAUUGAUAAGGAAUUAGAGAAGUUUGUCAAAGAUGAACAGUCGAAAGAGUGCAGACAGAUCGCCCCAAUACCAAAUGAGGAAUAUUGGAAAAUUGAUAAUUUAAAUAAUUCAUUGAGGAAGAUCGAGAAAAAACUGGAGGCCUUGCAGGCUAGUAAGGAUGAAGAAAAAUUACAGACCAUCGCUGGAAACCUUAAAGAGAACGAUUAUAAAGAGAAGUUAAAAGAAAUCAUCGCCAGAGGACUGGAAGAUGAAAAUAGCAAUGAAGAAAACUACGAUUACAAAGAAAAACUCAAACAAAUGGAAGCAAAAUGGCUGCAAGAGGAGAAAUUAAAAAAUACCGACGAUCCUGAUGAAUUAAACGACAAAGAAUGCUAAACGUUUCUCUAUUUUAUAUAUGCAAAUUAAGCGGAUAAAAACAUUUAAAAAAAAAAACGACUUACAUCGGAGCUUUUGUUGUGUCGAAUAACACGGGUCUGUUUAGCAUAACCAUUAAAAGGCGGAGGAACGAAUAAAAACCUCACCAAAUAAGUGAAAAGUUUCCAAUAUGGCGUCCGUCCGCCAUUUUGAAAUUUUAUUUGUUGUAAUAAGCAAAAAAAAUGUGGGGUUAAAAGUUGACAAGGUGGCGGCCAUGUUGGAAUUUUAUUUGUCAUAAGCCACGCCCAAAUAAAAAUAAAUGAGCGAGUUAAAAGUUUACAAAGUGGCGUCCGUCCGCCAUUUUGAAAUUUUAGUUGUAGUAAGUUGCGCUCCAAGUAAAUAAAACAAAUACUGCGUACCUAGGUGCAAAUAAAUUAUAUUACAUUCCUUUUUUGUUGAAAUGUCUUUAAUUGUAUAUUUUCUGUUUAAUAAAUAAAUAAAUUUAAAGAAA